rnacentral:rRNA from 1 species
AGCAGUGAGACUGUGGGGGAUAAGCUUCAUAGUCGAGAGGGAAACAACCCAGACCACCAUCUAAGGUCCCUAAGCGCGUGCUAAGUGGGAAAGGAUGUGGAGUUGCUUAGACAACCAGGAGGUUGGCUUAGAAGCAGCCACCCUUGAAAGAGUGCGUAAUAGCUCACUGGUCAAGUGAUUCUGCGCCGACAAUUUAGCGGGGCUCAAGCACACCACCGAAGUCGUGGAAUUCGCGCAACAGCUCGGCAGCCCUCGUGGCUGUCCAGGCGUGCGGAUUGGUAGGAGAGCGUCGUGUGGCGAGUGAAGCGGCGGAGGAAUCCAGCCGUGGACGCCACACGAGUGAGAAUGCCGGCAUGAGUAGCGAAAGACUGGCGAGAAACCAGUCCUCCGAAAGACCAAGGGUUCCAGGGUCAAGCUAAUCUUCCCUGGGUAAGCCGGGACCUAAGGCGAGGCCGACAGGCGUAGUCGAUGGACAUCAGGUUGAUAAUCCUGAGCUGGCGAAGAACCGCCCAAGUCAAUCCAGUAAUGCUAAGAGUCCGAAUCCUUGGACCGAUCCCUUCGGGGUGACGUCCUUGGGCUAGCACUCGACCCUAUGCUGGUGCGGCUAGCGUAUUAACAGGUGUGACGCAGGAAGGUAGCAGAACCGGGCCGAUGGUUGAGUCCGGGUAAGCCGUAGGGCGUGGGAUAGGCAAAUCCGUCCCACAUACAGCCUGAGAGCUUUGCCGAACCCUAGAGGGAAGUCUGUGAUCCUAUGCUGCCAAGAAAAGCAUCGACGCGAGGUUCAAGUCACCCGUACCCCAAACCGACUCAGGUGGUCAGGUAGAGAAUACCAAGGAGAUCGAGAGAAUCGUGGUUAAGGAACUCGGCAAAAUGCCCCCGUAACUUCGGGAGAAGGGGGGCCUGAGGCGUGACGGCACUAGCUGCCCGAGCGUUUGAAGGCCGCAGAGACCAGUGGGAAGCGACUGUUUACUAAAAACACAGGUCCGUGCUAAGACGCAAGUCGAUGUAUACGGACUGACGCCUGCCCGGUGCUGGAAGGUUAAGAGGAAGGGUUAGCGCAAGCGAAGCUCAGAAUUUAAGCCCCAGUAAACGGCGGUGGUAACUAUAACCAUCCUAAGGUAGCGAAAUUCCUUGUCGGGUAAGUUCCGACCUGCACGAAUGGAGUAACGAUUUCCCUACUGUCUCCACCAUGAACUCGGUGAAAUUGCAUUACGAGUAAAGAUGCUCGUUACGCGCAGCAGGACGGAAAGACCCCGGGACCUUUACUAUAGUUUGGUAUUGGUGAUUGGGACGGUUUGUGUAGGAUAGGUGGGAGACGUUGAUGCGGCCACGCUAGUGGUGGUGGAGUCGUUGGUGAAAUACCACUCUGAUUGUUCUGGUUAUCUCAC